UGGGGAAUAUUGCACAAUGGGCGAAAGCCUGAUGCAGCGACGCCGCGUGAGGGAUGACGGCCUUCGGGUUGUAAACCUCUUUCAGCAGGGAAGAAGCGAAAGUGACGGUACCUGCAGAAGAAGCGCCGGCUAACUACGUGCCAGCAGCCGCGGUAAUACGUAGGGCGCAAGCGUUGUCCGGAAUUAUUGGGCGUAAAGAGCUCGUAGGCGGUUAGUCGCGUCUGCUGUGAAAACUCGAGGCUCAACCUCGGGCUUGCAGUGGGUACGGGCUGACUAGAGUGCGGUAGGGGGUGACUGGAAUUCCUGGUGUAGCGGUGGAAUGCGCAGAUAUCAGGAGGAACACCGAUGGCGAAGGCAGGUCACUGGGCCGCAACUGACGCUGAGGAGCGAAAGCAUGGGGAGCGAACAGGAUUAGAUAGCCCUGGUAGUCCAUGCCGUAAACGUUGGGCACUAGG
rnacentral:rRNA from 1 species